GUUGAACGCUGGCGGCGUGCCUUAUACAUGCAAGUCGAGCGAUAACACGCGGUGCUGGCCUCUCUGAUGUCGGACGCGGGCGUGAGAGAACCACGCGGAUACCCUGCCUAUGGGUAUGGCAUCACUUCGUGAAAUCGGACCUCAUAUGGGAUAAUGUAUUGAACCGGGUGCUUCAAUAGUGAAUGUCGGCUCUGCCCUCACUAAUAGCUGGUUUCGCGCCGGAUUAGUUGGUUGGUAAGGUAACGGCUUACCAAGGCUACGAUGCGUAGCCGACCUGAGAGGGGGAUCGGCCACACUGGAACUGAGACACGGUCCAGACUCCUACGGGAGGCAGCAGUAGGGAAUCUUCCGCAAUGGGCGAAAGCCUGACGCAGCAACGCCGCGUGAGUGAUGAAGGCCUUCGGAUCGUAAACCUCUGUUAUUAGGGAAGAACAGAUUUUGACUAAAACAUGGAGGUCUUGACGGUACCGAAUCAAAAAGCAACGGCUAACUACGUG
rnacentral:rRNA from 1 species